rnacentral:rRNA from 1 species
CUAUUUCUAGCUCGACUACGCAAAGCCCAAUUAGCAACAAAACCUAAAACAAAACAUUUAUCAUCGGAUAAAAGUAUAGGAGAUAGAAAUUAUACUCGACGCUAUAGAGAGAGUACCGUAAGGGAACAAUAAACUUAAAGUAAAAAAAAGCAAAGAUUACCCCUUGUACCUUCUGCAUAAUGAUUUAACUAGAAAACCUUUAGCAAAGUGAACUGAAGCUAAACACCCCGAAACCAGACGAGCUAUCUAAGGACAGCCCAAAGAGCAAACUCAUCUAUGUGGCAAAAUAGCGAGAAGAUCCCUAGAUAGAGGCGACAAACCAACCGAGCCUGGUGAUAGCUGGUUGUCCAGCAAACGAAUUUUAGUUCAAGUAUAAGCUUGCCUACAACAAUAACAAGUUUAAUGUAAGCUUACAACUUAGUCCAAAGGGGUACAGCCCUUUGGACACAGGAUACAGCCUUUAUUAGAGAGUAAUUACCUGAAACAUCAUAGUUGGCCUAAAAGCAGCCACCCAUUAAGAAAGCGUUCAAGCUCAAUAACCAAAACAAUCUUAAUUUCACCCAUACAAAACAACUCCUAAUAUCAAACUGGACUAUUCUAUUUCCAAAUAGAAGCAAUAAUGUUAAUAUGAGUAACAAGAAUAAUUUCUCCUAGCACAAGCAUAUACCAGACCGGAUAUUCCACUGGUAGUUAACAACACUUAAACCAAGCCCAAAAAUAAAACCUUUAUACAACAUUAUGUUAACCCAACACAGGAGUGCUACCUAAAGGAAAGAUUAAAAGGGAUAAAAGGAACUCGGCAAACACGAACCCCGCCUGUUUACCAAAAACAUCACCUCUAGCCUCACUAGUAUUAGAGGCACUGCCUGCCCAGUGACAUUAGUUCAACGGCCGCGGUAUCCUGACCGUGCAAAGGUAGCAUAAUCACUUGUUCUCUAAAUAAGGACUUGUAUGAAUGGCCACACGAGGGUUCAACUGUCUCUUACCCCCAAUCAGUGAAAUUGACCUUCCCGUGAAGAGGCGGGAAUAAUAUAAUAAGACGAGAAGACCCCAUGGAGCUUCAAUUAAUUAAUCCAAAAAGAACCACUACAAAUCUGAUAAGAACUAACACACCUUUACUUGGAUUAACAAUUUAGGUUGGGGUGACCUCGGAAUAAAAACUAACUUCCGAGUGAUUUAUAUUUAGACCUACAGGUCAAAAUAAAACCAUCAUUAAUUGAUCCAAUCAUUUGAUCAACGGACCAAGUUACCCUGGGGAUAACAGCGCAAUCCUAUUCAAGAGUCCAUAUCGACAAUAGGGUUUACGACCUCGAUGUUGGAUCAGGACAUCCUAGUGGUGCAGCCGCUACUAAGGGUUCGUUUGUUCAACGAUUAAUAGUCCUACGUGAUCUGAGUUCAGACCGGAGCAAUCCAGGUCGGUUUCUAUCUAUUUUAUGCCUCCCCCAGUACGAAAGGACAAGGGAAGCAGGGCCCACUUCACUUAUGCGCCCUCAAACUUAACAGAUUAUACAAUAUCAAUCUGAUAAUGUACGAACCACAUACCCUAGAUCAGGGUUC